AUUCAAGUCACAAUCUGCGGCCAAAAAAGCGAUAUACGAGUUAAAUAGGAGAUAUCUGAUUAUAGCUGAUGGAAGACCUGUGAUUGGCCGCAGAAGAAAUCUGAGAGUGCCCAGUAAAUCAACCAGUUUUCCUGGUCAUCUAGUUCUUGACAAACAGAAAUGCGGUA